rnacentral:lncRNA from 1 species
GGACUAGUAGUAAAGGUGUAUAUUUGGAAACUAAUCUUUUCAUAUUUUUUUGGUGUCCAGAGCAGGAUCAGAGAUCUCAGAGAGUGGCAGCAGAGGCUUGUUUCACCAGUCCAAAUGCUCUGAAGUCAUUCCCAGGGCUUGUAAAGCUGGUAUAAGCUCUUCAGAGGAAGGAUCAUAGCUCUGGGUUCAUACUACAUAUAAGAAAUUGUGGGGAAUACUGGGAAAAUCCACCUGCCAACACUGGAAGAUAAUAUUACAUUCAAAACAAAAUACUAGCAUUUGGAGAUUUAGCUUCCGUUCUUCAAAUCAGCUGUGACUUUAAGCAACUCAUUCAGUGUGCAACUGCUGGAGGAACAGGGAGUUGCUGCCCAUGGGAGAAUAUCCCAGGUUUUGUUCUAUGAGGAAAUUUGCUGCUUCGAUGUGGUUCUGUCCUUCCAGAUGCCUGUGAAUUCCUCCAGGGUACCCUGGAGCAGGACUACUCAGUUUGUUAUAAGGACCAUUCCCUAUCAUUUCCAUUUGGAAGCAUUACUUCACACUUGCAACUGCACAAGAGCAAAUGGAGCAGAAGAGCCUAAUUAAAG